rnacentral:rRNA from 1 species
UACGUAGGGUGCGAGCGUUGUCCGGAAUUAUUGGGCGUAAAGGGCUCGUAGGCGGUCUGUCACGUCGGGAGUGAAAACUCAGGGCUUAACCCUGAGCCUGCUUCCGAUACGGGCAGACUAGAGGUAUGCAGGGGAGAACGGAAUUCCUGGUGUAGCGGUGAAAUGCGCAGAUAUCAGGAGGAACACUGGUGGCGAAGGCGGAUCUCUGGGCCUUGCCUGACGCUGAGGCGCGAAAGCUAGGGGAGCGAACAGG